rnacentral:lncRNA from 1 species
CGUGACAAAGAAGUUGGGAAAGGUGGCAAGAAAUACUGAGAAAUUUGAGUAAUUCUCAUCAAACACCUGCUUGGAACAUCCCACAGGUGAGCAGGCUAAUUGGGAACAGGUGGGUGCCAUGAUUGGAUAUAAAAGCAGCUUCCCCCAAAAUUCUCAGUCAUUCACAAGCAAGGAUGGGGUGAGGUUCCCCACUUUGUGAACAACUGCGUGAGCAAGUAGUCCAACAGUUUAAGAAAAACGUUUCUCAUAGUACAAUUUUAAGGAAUUUAGGGAUUUCAACAUCUACAGUCCAUAAUAUCAUCAAAAGAUUCAGAGAAUCUGGAGAUAUGAAGGAUAUCACCACAUGGGCUCAGGAACACUUCAGAAAACCACUGUCAGUAAAUACGGUUGGUCACUACAUCUGUAAGUGCAAGUUAAAACUCUACUAUGCAAAGCGAAAGCCAUUUAUCAACAACACCCAGAAUUGCCGCCAGCUUCUCUGGGCCUGAGCUCAUCUAAGAUGGACUGAUGCAAAAAGGAAAAGUGUUCUGUGGUCUGACGAGUCCACAUUUCAAAUUGUUUUUGGAAAUAGUGGACGUCGGGUCCUCCGAGCCAAAGAGAAAAAAGAACCAUCCAAACUGUUAUCAAUGCAAAGUUCAAAAGCCAGCAUCUGUGAUGGUAUGGGGGUGCAUUAGUGCCCAAGGCAUGAGUAACUUACACAUCUGUGAAGGCAACAUUAAUGCUGAAAGGUACAUACAGGUUUUGGAGCAACAUAUUUCAGCAAGACAAUGCCAAGUCACAUUCUGCAUGUGUUGCAACAGCGUGGCUUCGUAGUAAAAGAGUGCGGGUACUUGACUGGCCUGCCUGCAGUCCAAACCUGUCUCCCAUUGAAAAUGUGUGGCACAUUAUGAGGCGUAAAAUAAAACAACGUAGACCCUAGACUGCUGAACAACUGAAGCUGUACAUCAAGCAGAAAUGGGAAAGAAUUCCACCUUCAAAGCUUCAACAAUUAGUCUCCUCAGUUCCUAAACGUUUAUUGAGUGUUGUUGAAAGGAAAGGUGAUGUAACACAGUUGUAAACAUGCCCCUGUCCCAAGUACUUUGGCAUGUGUUGCAGCAAUGAAACUGAGUUAAUGAUUAUUUACAAAAAAAAAAAAAAAAGUUUAUGAGUUUGAACGUUAAAUGUCAUCUUUGUAGUGUAUUCAAUUGAAUAUACACUACAGGCCAAAAGUUUGGACGCAAGAUCAGAUUUGUACAAAAAAAGAUCAUAGUUGCAUUUAUAUAAUUUGCAACAUAACUAUUGUGUAAAGAGUAACUUAUCAGAAGACAUUUUGACUAUAAUUAUUGGGUGUUUGAGUUAUUGUUGCUUAGACUUUGCUUUCUUUAGAGUAACCUCCUCUGGCUUUAACAACAGCUUGGAAAAUACCAGGCAUUCGUUACACAAGUUUUUUAAGGUAUGUUUCAGGGAUUGCAUUCCAAGCUUUCUUAAGUUCAUUAAAAAGAUACUGCUGAUUCGUGGGACGCGUUUUUCGAUCCAAUUCAUCCCGCACAAGCUCAAUUGGAGAAAGGUCUGGAGUCUGAGGGGGCCAAACCACCUUUUGAACACCUUCCUCUUCUUUUUUGUCAAGGUAACCCUGACAGAGCUUGGCAGAGUGCUUUGGGUCAUUGUCUUGCUGCAAAACAAACUUAUGAGUCACAAGUCUGAGUCCAGAUGGAACAGCAUGGUGCUGGAGGAUGGAGUGGUACUGUUCCUUCUUCAUGAUAACGUUUACUUCAAACAAAUCGCCUACUUCAUCACCUGCAAAACAUCCCCAUACCAUGGAACUACCACCUCAAUGCUAAAUUGUGGGUGUAACAGAUGGUGCUUUCAGUCGUUCGCCAGUUUGUCAGCGGACAUAGACUCUGCGUUUUGAACCAGUGCAAACUUGUUUCAAGUCAUCAUAAGUCCAAUUUUUGUGAGCUUUUGCCCACUCAUAUCUCUUUUCUUGUUCUGUGGACAAAGUAGUGUUUUUUGUAGAAACACAACCCUUCAGACCAGCCUUUCUCAAACGUCAUUUCAUGGUUGUCAGAGAUAUGGGUUUCGACCUUGUCAUGUUGAUUUCCUCCCUUAUUCGUGGUGCUGUCUUUUGCCGAUCUCACUUACUGGUGACAAUGCUAUGUUUAUUCUCUGCUUUUGUAUCACCAUAACUUCCAGGUUCCUCUAGUCUCUUCAGAGUGUAGUGGACUCCUUUGUUAAACACCUUUAGGCAUUUUGCAAUUUCUCUUUCUGUGUAUCCUUCUUUCCUUAAUGUACAAAUCUGUACUUUUGUUUCUUUACUCAGUUGAUUCUUUCUAGCCAUUUCUGUGGUAGUUUGAAUGCAGUUGAGAUUUAUUAGGAUUUUUGUAUGCAGGCUCUCAAAAGCCAAAAGGUUGAAGUGAAUAAUCCAACUGUGAUUUGUUUUUUUGCUUUUUCACUGAAGUUGUGACUCUUGCAAAUGUUUUCAACCCUAAAACGAAGCCCUUAUUAUCUUUUGCUGACAUAUAUUUAGCAAUGGUCUGUUAACAUCAAUGUAUAUCUAAAGGUAAAUGGAGUAAAAUGGUGCAUUUCCAUGAAAGCAACAUCUGAUCAUGGAGUAAAUACAUCCAAAAAUACAUAAAACUCAUGCUGGAUUUUCAAAAAAAGCAUUGUGAACAAAAACUUGAAGUUACUCCCAACUGUACUGCCUGUAAUGGCCUUGCUUCCAACUGUUUGGCCUGUAGUGCAGGUUGAAAAGUAUCUGCAAAUCAUUGUAUUGUGUUUUUAUUAACGUUUAUCACAAUUUCCCAACUUCAAUGGAAUUGGGUUUUGUAGUUUGUCCAUGAAAGACAUUGAUCUAUCAACUUAAUAUGUCAUUUUUCAUACUUUUCAGUAAGCAUUUACAGUUUAUUGUCCUUUCAACCGUUUCCAUGUGACAACAAAAUAUCAGCAUAUAUUAGGCAGCUGUAUUGUCUAUACAUUAUGUUGAUCUUUACUGUCUGCUCUAAAAUAAGAACAUAAAAUAAAACAAGAUUAGAAGAUAUGAUUAGACCUGAAGAGAAAGUGAUAAAUAAACAGUCUUGAAGCCUAAAUCCUUAUUUCAGUAUCCUUCUUUUGGGCGAGUAAGCGACACGCUGCAUAUUUAUCAUUUAUUUAAACAGCUCCAGAUUAUAAAUGGAUACUGCUCUGUACAGUGGUGUUAUUAGGGCUUGUGUGUGCAUCAGUGGGGUGAGUUGGCAUAAUAUUUGUACAUGGCUUUAUGUGGCCCGAUCUGGGCCAAUAAUUCUAGGUCCAAAUUUUUGUCCCAGUCCAACCCUGUCUCUGUCUAUUUUAUGGGAAAAAGGUAAGGCAAUUUUAAGAGGCAUAUUAAUUUGAUACUUUGUCCACAAAAAAAGAGAGAACAGCAACAAGAAACUGAACUGGAACAAAAAAUCAAACGUUUAGAGGACAUCAACGCUAACAAUCCAACAGAAGAAUCCUAUAGUGAACUUAGAAAAUACAAAUUUUGAUUAAAUAAAAUCCUUAAGAAAAGGACAAAAUUCAUAAAGUUAAGUGGUCAUUUCCAAUCUCCACAAUGCAAAAGUUUGGCUUUGGGGAAUCAUUAAUUAUUGAAUUAAAAUUCUUUGCACUGCUCCUUCAGCCGCAGUUAUCACAAAUUGACUAAGAUUACAACCAUUCCCCCUCACUUUUCAGUAUCAUCAUAGAACCUUUAGCGGCAGCCAUUCGUCAGAACACCAACAUCCAUGGAAUCAAAACACCAAACAACCAUCAUAAAGUCAGUUUAUUUGCAACAACAUACUGCUCUUUUUACAGAAACCAUAUAUGGUUUCUGUAAAAAGUCAUGAUGUCAUGAUGAAUAUAUUCAUCAUGACAGGAAACAAUCAAAACAAUGGUAGCAUAUUUAAAAAUCUCUGACUACUUCAUAAACUGCAUGGCAAAAAUCCUCAGUCCACCAUACUUAUCAACUUAUCACCGUCACUUACUCCUCUCUGUCAACCGUGCAAACCUCAACCCUUGAGAGGGGAAAAAAGAAACUAAGCAAAGAAACAAAAGGAAAAAAAGAAACAAACAAACAAUGAUCUCUUUCCAAGAAAUUGUGUAGUGUCCCCUAUGGCCAGCCCCCUCCCCAGGGCUGGGGGUGACUGUGCUCAGGGUCCCACUCCUUAGCCACCUGACAGAGAGGAAUAGGAAGUUGAUGGUGAAAUAAAAGAUAAGAUAAGAUAAGAAGAACUAUAUUGAUCCCCGAAGGGAAAUUCAAUUGUCUGUCGUCUCACUUGUCAUGUAUCUAAAAGUCAUCUACUAUUUACAGAAGAGUUGUAAAGUCUGAUGGCUGUGGGUACAAAAGAUGAAUCUUUCUGUCCUGCAGCGAAGAGAGAGGCACAGUCCACCACCAUCGGCCCUUUGGUCCAUGAAGGUGUUGUGAAGUGGGUUAUCCAUGUUCUUUAGCCUUGUCUCCACCUUUCUCAGUGUAGAUCUCUCCACCACAUCCUCCACUGAGUCCAGCUUGAGUCCAACCACAGAGCCAGCCUUUUUCACCAGUUUGUUCAGACGUUUUGCAUCUUUGUGUUUGAUGCUUCCUCCCCAG